GUCCCGGUGGCACAGAGGAUAGCGCGGCCCCCUCCUAAGGGGCAGGUCACAGGUUCGAAUCCUGUCCGGGACG
rnacentral:tRNA from 1 species